AGAAUCAACGCUGGCGGCGUGCCUAACACAUGCAAGUCGAACGAGAAAGUGGAGCAAUCCAUGAGUAAAGUGGCGCACGGGUGAGUAACACGUGACUAACCUACCUUUUAGUGGGGGAUAACCUAGGGAAACCUGGGCUAAUACCGCAUAACACUUACGAGUCAAAGCAGCAAUGCGCUGAAAGAGGGGGUCGCGGCCGAUUAGCUAGUUGGCGGGGUAAUGGCCCACCAAGGCAGUGAUCGGUAUCCGGCCUGAGAGGGCGCACGGGACACACUGGAACUGAAACACGGCCCAGACUCCUACGGGAGGCAGCAGUGGGGAAUUUGCGCAAUGGGGGAAACCCUGACGCAGCAACGCCGCGUGGAGGAUGAAGUCCCUUGGGACGUAAACUCCUUUCGAUCGGGACGAUAAUGACGGUACCGGAAGAAGAAGCCCCGGCUAACUUCGCGCCAGCAGCCGC
rnacentral:rRNA from 1 species